CUCAGUAACGGCGAGUGAAGCGGCAACAGCUCAAAUUUGAAAGCUGGCCCCCCCGGGGGUCCGCGUUGUAAUUUGUAGAGGAUGAUUCGGCGAGGGCUCCCGCCUAAGUCCCCUGGAACGGGGCGUCAUAGAGGGUGAGAAUCCCGUAUGCGGUGGGCUGCCUUAGCCAUGUGAAUCUCCUUCGACGAGUCGAGUUGUUUGGGAAUGCAGCUCUAAAUGGGAGGUAAAUUUCUUCUAAAGCUAAAUACCGGCCAGAGACCGAUAGCGCACAAGUAGAGUGAUCGAAAGAUGAAAAGCACUUUGGAAAGAGAGUUAAAAAGUACGUGAAAUUGUUGAAAGGGAAGCGCUUGCAGCCAGACUUGUCCGCAGUUGCUCAGCCGGUCUCCUGACCGGCGCACUCUUCUGCGGCCAGGCCAGCAUCAGUUCGGGCGGUCGGAUAAAGGCCCCGGGAACGUAGCUCCUCUCGGGGAGUGUUAUAGCCCGGGGUGGAAUGCGGCCAGCCUGGACUGAGGAUCUCGCUUCGGCUAGGAUGCUGGCGUAAUGGCUGUAAGCGGCCCGUCUUGAAACACGGACCAAGGAGUCUAACAUCUAUGCGAGUGUUUGGGUGUCAAACCCAUGCGCGUAAUGAAAGUGAACGGAGGUGGGAACCCUCGCGGGUGCACCAUCGACCGAUCCUGAUGUCUUCGGAUGGAUUUGAGUAAGAGCAUAGCUGUUGGGACCCGAAAGAUGGUGAACUAUGCCUGAAUAGGGUGAAGCCAGAGGAAACUCUGGUGGAGGCUCGCAGCGGUUCUGACGUGCAAAUCGAUCGUCAAAU
rnacentral:sRNA from 1 species